rnacentral:misc_RNA from 1 species
AAAUGCGAUAAGUAAUGUGAAUUGCAGAAUUCAGUGAAUCAUCGAGUCUUUGAACGCACAUUGCGCCCCCUGGUAUUCCGGGGGGCAUGCCUGUCCGAGCGUCAUUGCUGCCCUCAAGCACGGCUUGUGUGUUGGGCUUCCGUCCCUGGCAACGGGGACGGGCCCAAAAGGCAGUGGCGGCACCAUGUCUGGUCCUCGAGCGUAUGGGGCUUUGUCACCCGCUCCCGUAGGUCCAGCUGGCAGCUAGCCUCGCAACCAAUCUUUUUAACCAGGUUGACCUCGGAUCAGGUAGGGAUACCCGCUGAACUUAAGC